rnacentral:rRNA from 1 species
CCAGACUCCUACGGGAGGCAGCAGUGGGGGAUAUUGCACAAUGGGGGAAACCCUGAUGCAGCGACGCCGCGUGGGUGAAGAAGCGCCUCGGCGCGUAAAGCCCUGUCAGCAGGGAAGAAAAUGACGGUACCUGAAGAAGAAGCCCCGGCUAACUACGUGCCAGCAGCCGCGGUAAUACGUAGGGGGCAAGCGUUAUCCGGAUUUACUGGGUGUAAAGGGAGCGCAGACGGCAGUGCAAGUCUGGAGUGAAAGCCCGGGGCCCAACCCCGGAACUGCUCUGGAAACUGUGCGGCUAGAGUACUGGAGGGGCAGGCGGAAUUCCUAGUGUAGCGGUGAAAUGCGUAGAUAUUAGGAGGAACACCAGUGGCGAAGGCGGCCUGCUGGACAGUAACUGACGUUGAGGCUCGAAAGCGUGGGGAGCAAACAGGAUUAGAUACCCCGGUA